GAUGAACGCUGGCGGCGUGCCUAAUACAUGCAAGUCGAGCGAAUGGAUUAAGAGCUUGCUCUUAUGAAGUUAGCGGCGGACGGGUGAGUAACACGUGAGCAACCUGCCCAUAAGACUGGGAUAACUCCUGGAAACCGGGGCUAAUACCGGAUAGCAUUUUGAACCGCAUGGUUCGAAAUUGAAAGGCGGCUUCGGCUGUCACUUAUGGAUGGACCCGCGUCGCAUUAGCUAGCUGGUGAGGUGACGGCUCACCAAGGCAACGAUGCGUAGCCGACCUGAGAGGGUGAUCGGCCACACUGGGACUGAGACACGGCCCAGACUCCUACGGGAGGCAGCAGUAGGGAAUCUUCCGCAAUGGACGAAAGUCUGACGGAGCAACGCCGCGUGAGUGAUGAAGGCUUUCGGGUCGUAAAACUCUGUUGUUAGGGAAGAACAAGUGCUAGUUGAAUAAGCUGGCACCUUGACGGUACCUAACCAGAAAGCCACGGCUAACUACGUGCCAGCCGCCGCAGUAA
rnacentral:rRNA from 1 species